ensembl:misc_RNA Metazoa_SRP Metazoan signal recognition particle RNA
GCCAGGCGUGGUGGCACAUGCCUGCAGUCCCAGCUACUCAGGAGGCUGAGGCUGGAGGGUCACUUGCAUCCAGGACUUCCAGGCUAUAGUGCGCUAUGCCGAUCAGGUGUCUGCACUAAGUUCAGCAUCAAUAUGGUGACCUCCCGGGAUUGGGGGACCACCAGGUUGCCUAUGGAGGGGUGAACCUGCCCAAGUCAGAAACAGAGCAGGUCAAAACUCCCGUGCUGGUCAGUAGUGGGAUCAUGCCUGUGAAUAGCCACUGCACUCCAGCCUGGGCAACAUAGUGAGACCCUGUCUCUA